CACGAGUGGGAUGAAUCCCACAUCUGGUCUCUCAUUCCUCAUUCAUUCUGAAACUCCUCUAUCUAAUCUUUAACUCUCAAACCCUCUCUCUAAACCAGCGAGGAAACCACCCACGUCGCCACAUUUUUCAGAAAAAAUCUCAGAUCACAAUUAUCAAUUUCAGUGUUAGCUUGACCAGAGAAGUCAAUAUGUAGGCUUACAUGUAGACGUUGAUGAUAGGAAGGUCAUAUCCCCAAGAAUCAAGUUCACCGAAGUUUUCUGGUGAAAUUUAAGAUGAAAUCUGAAAGAAUUACUGUCGAUCAAACUUGGGCACAACUUCUUUCAAUCUUAGAUAUCACUUCCAUACUCUACAUGUCUGCAUCGAGUUAAGAUUCAAAGUGUUAACCUCUGUGUAACCUUCGAUGUCAUGUUCGUGCAAUGAACUCCAACUAAUUUCAUUACGUUCGAGUUGAAACUCACCUAAUGAUUUCAAUAUUUUGAGUUCUGGUAAUAUUCAGAACUUAAUGGUGUUGAGUUCGAGCUCAAUUUUGAAGAAAUUAACCUCUAUGAAGUCUCUGUGUAAUUCCCUAGUGUUUUGGUUGAUAGCUUUCGGCAAAACCUCAGCAAAUCCGAGGUAGAAUCGACACCCAGUUGCCAAAUUCCAACUCCAGAAUGAGGCGAACCUUUAGCGGUAGAGCACUGCGGUUGUCGUUAAAUUUAACGGCAAUAAUGGUGGUUACCGUUAGAAAAAAUUGAAUCUCAACUGGAAUUAGGUAUAUUCAACCAACAUUUAAAUUGAGUUCAACGAUCGGCACAUAAGUUCAAUGACGGCGACUGCAUCGUGUAUUCUCUGGCAAUAACGGUAAGUACGAUAGCGCGUCUUCUGGCGAACGACGGUGCAUCCAUCGGCGGGUGAUGCCAUAACGGCAGCACAUGGCGUAGUGGGACUGUCUGUACAGCAGCGUGUGGGGACUUGAAACCUACCUUAAGGUUAUUUGACGUCCCGAAUCACAUGGCACACUUUCUUUAUGCAAAUUCAAAGCCAUUUAUCACUUUUAGGUGAUAGAAUUUGUGAAAUACUAAAACUAAAUGAUAUUUUAUAGGUGAAAGUAUAAGUGAUACAAACAAGAAUAAGGCACUUAUUAAGGAUUUACAGUCACAAUACUAGUGAGUGGAUCCCUUCAAAAAAUAAGUUUUCGAUUAAACUGUUUUUUGAAUUGGAUGAUGUUAAGAUAAUCUUUGAUGACAACAAAAUUGAUUUUA